GGCUUCGUAGUCGAGUGGUAAGAACAAUAGCCUCUCAUUUUGUAGUUCCGGGUUUGAUCCCCUGUCGUGAAGCUA